GCAGGAUAACUCAGCUGCCUAUGGCGCCCGGUACGUGGGUUCCAUGGUGGCCGAUGUUCACUGCACUCUGGUCUAUGGCGGGAUCUUUCUGUACCCAGCUAACAAGAAGAGCCCCAAUGAAAAGCUGAGACUGCUGUAUGAGUGUAACCCCAUGGCCUUCGUCAUGGAGAAGGCGGGGGGGCAUGGCUACCACUGGGAAGGAGGCUGUGCUAGACAUCGUUCCCACUGACAUCCACCAGAGGGCGCCGGUGAUCUUGGGGUCCCCGGACGACGUGCAGGAGUUCCUGGAGGUUUACAAGCAGCACUCUGCCAAGUGAGGGGCCGGCCGCGCCCACUCCGGAAGGAGUGUCCUCCACUCGGACCUUUCGUCUCACGUCGCGCUCCCCUGUUGUGGCAGCACAUCCUGCGUCCCUAGAGAGUAGAAAUAAAAAGCGUGGCUGCUUUCACCCUCAAAUGCCGUGUAAUGCCUGGUGCUACAUAGCAAAAUGCUGUCUGGAUGAUGUCGCUGGUGGGCAAGAUGUAUCCUGAGCAAAUGGAGGAGAAAUAAACACGGUCUUCCUUUUAGGAAAA